rnacentral:lncRNA from 1 species
GGGCAGCCACCCAGAGUGACACUGGAACUAUCAAAAGAAUCAAGCAUGGAUGAUAGAGGCUGAGGGCAGUCUGCCUGAUAAAAUGGCAUGAUCCUUUGCCAAGUUUCUAGACGUGAGUCAGUUUUCAGGCCUGAAACCCUUUGGUUGAAGAAGAGGACAGAUCUCCAGGAGGAAGGACCAUGUAACAUCAUGGGGACUUCACAAUGGCUGAAUACCAGGAGGCAAGAAGCAUUGUGACCAUUCUGGAGGCUGGCUACCACACUUGGGAUUAUACCACUCUGCCCUCUGUCACAGUCUGAAAAGAUCUGGACCAUCUACCAUCUGGGCAUCCACAGAACAUCUCAUUGAUUCUCUACUUUGAUGGCAUCAUGCUAAUCAAGUAGAUUAGUGAGAAAUGACUGGCAUGUUGGAGGCCUUGAAAGAAAAAUGCACUGCAAGGAGUAGGAGAUAAUCCAUAUGAAGAUCCAAGGACCCGCCACAUGAGAACAACUUUGAGAGCCCAAGGGUCGAGGGCAUGUGGGUCAUAUCAUCCAAAAUAAAAGAUGAAUGAUCACAUCUUGCACCUCCUACAUGAGGAGGGAAGCACAAUACCUGAUAGAACUCUUCAG